AGUGAACGCUGGCGGUAGGCCUAACACAUGCGAGUCGAACGGCAGCACAGUAAGAGCUUGCUCUUACGGGUGGCGAGUGGCGGACGGGUGAGGAAUACAUCGGAAUCUACUUUUUCGUGGGGGAUAACGUAGGGAAACUUACGCUAAUACCGCAUACGACCUACGGGUGAAAGCAGGGGAUCUUCGGACCUUGCGCGAUUGAAUGAGCCGAUGUCGGAUUAGCUAGUUGGCGGGGUAAAGGCCCACCAAGGCGACGAUCCGUAGCUGGUCUGAGAGGAUGAUCAGCCACACUGGAACUGAGACACGGUCCAGACUCCUACGGGAGGCAGCAGUGGGGAAUAUUGGACAAUGGGCGCAAGCCUGAUCCAGCCAUACCGCGUGGGUGAAGAAGGCCUUCGGGUUGUAAAGCCCUUUUGUUGGGAAAGAAAAGCAGCAGGUUAAUACCCCGCUGUUCUGACGGUACCCAAAGAAUAAGCACCGACUAACUUCGUG
rnacentral:rRNA from 1 species